GGCGAGGUAGCUCAGUUGGCAGAGCACGCGACUGAAAAUCGCGGUGUCGACAGUUCGAUUCUGUCCCUCGCCA
rnacentral:tRNA from 1 species